rnacentral:rRNA from 1 species
AGUUCUGGUGUCAGCCGCUGCGGUAAAACCAGCACCUCAAGUGGUCAGGAUGAUUAUUGGGCCUAAAGCAUCCGUAGCCGGCUAUGUUAGUUUUCGGUUAAAUCCAUGUGCUCAACACAUGGGCUGCCGAAAAUACUGCAUGGCUAGGGAGUGGGAGAGGUAGACGGUACUCAGUAGGAAGGGGUAAAAUCCUUUGAUCUAUUGAUGACCACCUGUGGCGAAGGCGGUCUACCAGAACACGUUCGACGGUGAGGGAUGAAAGCUGGGGGAGCAAACCGGAUUAGAUACCCGGGUAGUCCCAGCUGUAAACGAUGCAGACUCGAUGAUGCAUUGGCAUAUAGCCAGUGCAGUGUCGCAGGGAAGCCGUUAAGUCUGUCGCCUGGGAAGUACGUACGCAAGUAUGAAACUUAAAGGAAU